CUUCCUUUCGGCCUUUUUGGGUAAAAUCAAAUGUAGUACUGUUCUUAUUAAACUUAAUUCUGAACCCUACCCCACUUUGGGGGGGCCGAUAUUAAAAAGAAUUUUUUACCAGGGGAGAAGUCGGGGCUUUUUUUCCGCUCUUACCACGGGUUUGGCCCGGUUUUUGCCGUACCUCCGGGGAAAGGCCCCCUUUU